GGGUUGUGAGGUUAAGCGACUAAGCGUACACGGUGGAUGCCCUGGCAGUCAGAGGCGAUGAAGGACGUGCUAAUCUGCGAUAAGCGUCGGUGAGGUGAUAUGAACCGUUAUAACCGGCGAUUUCCGAAUGGGGAAACCCAGUGUGUUUCGACACACUAUCAUUAACUGAAUCCAUAGGUUAAUGAGGCGAACCGGGGGAACUGAAACAUCUAAGUACCCCGAGGAAAAGAAAUCAACCGAGAUUCCCCCAGUAGCGGCGAGCGAACGGGGAGCAGCCCAGAGCCUGAAUCAGUGUGUGUGUUAGUGGAAGCGUCUGGAAAGGCGCGCGAUACAGGGUGACAGCCCCGUACACAAAAAUGCACAUGCUGUGAGCUCGAUGAGUAGGGCGGGACACGUGGUAUCCUGUCUGAAUAUGGGGGGACCAUCCUCCAAGGCUAAAUACUCCUGACUGACCGAUAGUGAACCAGUACCGUGAGGGAAAGGCGAAAAGAACCCCGGCGAGGGGAGUGAAAAAGAACCUGAAACCGUGUACGUACAAGCAGUGGGAGCCUCUUUAUGGGGUGACUGCGUACCUUUUGUAUAAUGGGUCAGCGACUUAUAUUCUGUAGCAAGGUUAACCGAAUAGGGGAGCCGAAGGGAAACCGAGUCUUAACUGGGCGUUAAGUUGCAGGGUAUAGACCCGAAACCCGGUGAUCUAGCCAUGGGCAGGUUGAAGGUUGGGUAACACUAACUGGAGGACCGAACCGACUAAUGUUGAAAAAUUAGCGGAUGACUUGUGGCUGGGGGUGAAAGGCCAAUCAAACCGGGAGAUAGCUGGUUCUCCCCGAAAGCUAUUUAGGUAGCGCCUCGUGAAUUCAUCUCCGGGGGUAGAGCACUGUUUCGGCAAGGGGGUCAUCCCGACUUACCAACCCGAUGCAAACUGCGAAUACCGGAGAAUGUUAUCACGGGAGACACACGGCGGGUGCUAACGUCCGUCGUGAAGAGGGAAACAACCCAGACCGCCAGCUAAGGUCCCAAAGUCAUGGUUAAGUGGGAAACGAUGUGGGAAGGCCCAGACAGCCAGGAUGUUGGCUUAGAAGCAGCCAUCAUUUAAAGAAAGCGUAAUAGCUCACUGGUCGAGUCGGCCUGCGCGGAAGAUGUAACGGGGCUAAACCAUGCACCGAAGCUGCGGCAGCGACACUAUGUGUUGUUGGGUAGGGGAGCGUUCUGUAAGCCUGUGAAGGUGUACUGUGAGGUAUGCUGGAGGUAUCAGAAGUGCGAAUGCUGACAUAAGUAACGAUAAAGCGGGUGAAAAGCCCGCUCGCCGGAAGACCAAGGGUUCCUGUCCAACGUUAAUCGGGGCAGGGUGAGUCGACCCCUAAGGCGAGGCCGAAAGGCGUAGUCGAUGGGAAACAGGUUAAUAUUCCUGUACUUGGUGUUACUGCGAAGGGGGGACGGAGAAGGCUAUGUUGGCCGGGCGACGGUUGUCCCGGUUUAAGCGUGUAGGCUGGUUUUCCAGGCAAAUCCGGAAAAUCAAGGCUGAGGCGUGAUGACGAGGCACUACGGUGCUGAAGCAACAAAUGCCCUGCUUCCAGGAAAAGCCUCUAAGCAUCAGGUAACAUCAAAUCGUACCCCAAACCGACACAGGUGGUCAGGUAGAGAAUACCAAGGCGCUUGAGAGAACUCGGGUGAAGGAACUAGGCAAAAUGGUGCCGUAACUUCGGGAGAAGGCACGCUGAUAUGUAGGUGAAGCGACUUGCUCGUGGAGCUGAAAUCAGUCGAAGAUACCAGCUGGCUGCAACUGUUUAUUAAAAACACAGCACUGUGCAAACACGAAAGUGGACGUAUACGGUGUGACGCCUGCCCGGUGCCGGAAGGUUAAUUGAUGGGGUUAGCGGUAACGCGAAGCUCUUGAUCGAAGCCCCGGUAAACGGCGGCCGUAACUAUAACGGUCCUAAGGUAGCGAAAUUCCUUGUCGGGUAAGUUCCGACCUGCACGAAUGGCGUAAUGAUGGCCAGGCUGUCUCCACCCGAGACUCAGUGAAAUUGAACUCGCUGUGAAGAUGCAGUGUACCCGCGGCAAGACGGAAAGACCCCGUGAACCUUUACUAUAGCUUGACACUGAACAUUGAGCCUUGAUGUGUAGGAUAGGUGGGAGGCUUUGAAGUGUGGACGCCAGUCUGCAUGGAGCCGGCCUUGAAAUACCACCCUUUAAUGUUUGAUGUUCUAACGUUGGCCCCUGAUCGGGGUUGCGGACAGUGUCUGGUGGGUAGUUUGACUGGGGCGGUCUCCUCCUAAAGAGUAACGGAGGAGCACGAAGGUUGGCUAAUCCUGGUCGGACAUCAGGAGGUUAGUGCAAUGGCAUAAGCCAGCUUGACUGCGAGCGUGACGGCGCGAGCAGGUGCGAAAGCAGGUCAUAGUGAUCCGGUGGUUCUGAAUGGAAGGGCCAUCGCUCAACGGAUAAAAGGUACUCCGGGGAUAACAGGCUGAUACCGCCCAAGAGUUCAUAUCGACGGCGGUGUUUGGCACCUCGAUGUCGGCUCAUCACAUCCUGGGGCUGAAGUAGGUCCCAAGGGUAUGGCUGUUCGCCAUUUAAAGUGGUACGCGAGCUGGGUUUAGAACGUCGUGAGACAGUUCGGUCCCUAUCUGCCGUGGGCGCUGGAGAACUGAGGGGGGCUGCUCCUAGUACGAGAGGACCGGAGUGGACGCAUCACUGGUGUUCGGGUUGUCAUGCCAAUGGCACUGCCCGGUAGCUAAAUGCGGAAGAGAUAAGUG
rnacentral:rRNA from 1 species